rnacentral:rRNA from 1 species
UACAGAGGUCUCAAGCGUUGUUCGGAUUCAUUGGGCGUAAAGGGUGUGUAGGCGGCGCGCUAAGUCGGGUGUGAAAGCCCCGGGCUCAACCUGGGAAUUGCAUUCGAGACUGCGAAGCUAGGGUGCGGAAGAGGGAAGCGGAAUUUCCGGUGUAGCGGUGAAAUGCGUAGAUAUCGGAAGGAACAUCAGUGGCGAAAGCGGCUUCCUGGUCCAGCACCGACGUUCAGGCACGAAAGCGUGGGGAGCAAACAGG